AUUUAACUUAUGUUCCGAGUCAAAGGACCUACAGGCUGUUUGCCCAAGGCCUUUGGCCAGAGCCAUGCUUGAGGCUCGAGGGUAAAGGGGGAAACCCUUUUGCCUCCCGGUGGAAAGGAACAGUCUGCUGUGGAUG
rnacentral:ncRNA from 2 species